rnacentral:lncRNA from 1 species
UUAUAUAAGACCUUUGUUAUGAAAACCCGACAGAUAUGAACAUCCCGAAAAUGGGAAAAUUUUAUGCGCCCAAGGCGGACAGAGCGAACGAUAACAUCGUUCAUGUAAAUGUAGUAUUGAUCAAUACAGGGCACAUGGACUGUACACCCUCAGGCCCGUAAGCAAUGCCGGUUUACAGAUGAAUUUCUGUUUAACCUUCUGGAAAAUGAAAACAAUGUUCAUGAUAUGUCACAGAAACCUUAUAAAUAGACAAUACACAGUUUCAAAAACUUGAACGAGGGUUGUUAUGCUAUUAUUAUUGGUACAGAUUACUUCACAACUAUUGACUGGUUGUAGAAGAAUAUUAUAAAGAAAACAUUUAAAUUCUUUCAGCUUAUAUAUAUAUAAAUACUUGUUGGGCACUCAAAUGCUCAUCCUUGCUUAAUUUAAAUGUUUUCAGCUAAGUGUGAAAAGCUAGAAGGCUCGGCCAGGAACAAGUGAAAAGGAAGGCAAACAGAAUAUGUUAUUGGUAUCUUUUGUAAUAGAUAGACUGUAUUAAGUUAAUGAUAUGUAUUAUAUAUCAUGUAAAGAAUAUAGUAAAGGUUGCGUACUUGGGAUUAGACUCUGAUAAAUGUAAGUUAAG